rnacentral:lncRNA from 1 species
CGGGGUCCCAGUGGAGCCAAGGGAGACCUGGGAGCCAAAGGAGGCAAGGGUCUGCGUGGAGCACCAGGAGCUGCGGGUCCCCCGGGGCUGCGGGGUCAGAUGGGCUCAUUGGGCUUCCCAGGACCCCGCGGGGCAGCAGGACCCCGAGGACCUGAGGGAGAAGAAGGGCAGAUGGGUCCAGUGGGGCUGAACAGCAGUGAAGGACCGAAGGGUCGUGGGGGCCAGCGUGGGCUGGUUGGAGUCCCAGGACCUCCUGGCUCAAGAGGCAUCCCUGGAGCAGAAGGCACAGAAGGAAAGCCUGGUAUACAGGUUCCCAUUCUACACUACAUCCUAUAUAUUGUAUACAGACCUGCCUGCACGUGGCUGAGGUUGCAGGGAUGGGAUGGGAUGGAAUGGCUGCCCGUGCCUCUCCAUCCUCACCACCCCCUGCUUUACCCUGCAGGGUCCCCCCGGGGCUGUGGGCAGCCCAGGCAGGAUGGGAGCACCGGGCUUUGUUGGUGUGCAGGGGGGCAGAGGGCACGCAGGACCUCCUGGACCCACAGUAAGGACAACCUGCACGGAUCCCCCCCCUUUUCC